AUUACUGGCACGCACUACCACCCCCGGCUAAUUUUGUGUUGUCUUUUAUUUUUAGUAGAGAUGGGGUUUCAUCAUGUUGGCCAGGCUGCUUUUGAAUUCCUGACUUCAAGUGAUCCACUCACCUUCGCUUCCCGAAGUGCUAAGCAAAAGUCACAAUCUAAAGGCUAAAAGGGCCAGGAUGGCAAGGUAUACGGUAUUAUCCGGCAGAAGAAAAACAAUGGGAGUUGACACUGAACUUCAGAGUGGUGGAAAAAGGACAGCAGGGAAGCUGAAAGACUCAAGAACACACACCACUACUACAGUGGAAACUUUCUAUUUGCUGAUGUAAGUUUUGCCAACUGAGAAUAAAGGUUAUGUUUAUACAUGUUGGAGUUUUUGAAAAGAAGCUGAAGAUUCAGAUCCUAUGUGAAAUCUCUCAAUUUUCAAAUGUGGUCAUCAAAUUAAAAUUUUCAAGACCACAUCGGGUAGAUCAAAUGAAACAUGGCUAAGGGCCACAUAAACCAGCUGGCUGCUAAUGUAUAACCUCUGUCCUACAGGGAUGUUUGUGAAGAGUUUAAGUGAGAAUAAUCUGAGAAAUAUGCUUGACACGAUGUCUACCAUGCGAUUCUGACUGAGGUGGUUGCUAUAAACAGCUGGAUUGAUUAUAGCCUCCAAAGGAAGGUCUAUCUGCAAAGACUUAUGCUGUUUCCUAAAUAGGGGGAUCCCUACUUUACUGCUUUACUGUAGUCCUCCAGUUACUGACAAAUUCUUCUUGAGCAGGAAAUAGUAUCUUAAAAGUCUUUUUAUGCUUUGAACCUAUGAUAAGAACUCAAUAAAUUACCAUGGUUGAAUUAAAAUUACAAAAUACAUUAAUAUCACAAGAUUCUCUGAUAAAUCACCUUCCUUAUCUUCCUCUUUCAGUUGCAUUUUGUAUCUUAGAAAAAGGAGUUUGCACAGUAAUGACAAAAGUAUAAUUUUUGCUACUUAUUAGUAAAUUGUUUAGAAAUUCCUCUCCAGCCAUUAAAUUUUGGCACAAUUAGUUCUGUUUAACAACACGUUGAUUGACAUCUCGGUUCUGGAUUUAACUCCCAGAUUUCCUUCUUUCUAGAUAAUUUACCUUAGCUUUGUUUACUUUUGUUCUCUGAAUCUUCCUUUCUUCAUGUGCAAAAUGGAGACGAUAAUACUGUCUACCUCAUAGGGAUGUUUGUAAAGAGUUUAAGUGAGAUUAAUCUGAGAUAAAAGGCUUGACACAUGCCUGCCAUGCAAUUCUGACGGGGUCGUUGUUGUAAACAGUUGGAUUGUUUACCGCCUCUGAAGGAAGGUCUAUCUGCAAAGAAAUGACAUUAAGUGAACUAAUGCCUCCUUUCUUCAUCAGAGAUGUUCAAACUUGAGGUUUAUUUGCAUUCUAUGUUUAUAUUUCAAAGAAGUUAACUAUAUCAAACCUUCAUCAGAGAUGUUCAAACUUGAGGUUUAUUUGCAUUCUAUGCUUAUAUUUCAAAGAAGUUAACUAUAUCAAACCUGUGCUAAAAAAUAAAACAAAAAAAUACAAGCACAACCACAGCAAAACAGAUCUUGGUUCGCUCAGGGCCUUCACAUCUCUCAGUUUAGCCUACACAUGCUUCUUCACGUCGUAAUUUUGCUCAUAACCUUGGCAUUGCCUAUUUUCCACUUAAGCUGAACAGAAAUAAACCCCAGGGUUUCAAUGAAAUCUCAGAAUGACACUUCCUCAUCCAGCCCUCUGACUCCAUUGGGUGGCAUUACAAAUGACUACAUGUUCCCCUCCUCUCGAGAAGAAAAGAUUAGAAAGUUCCAUCUUCUUGGCUUUGAGUGUGUCUUCCCAGCACCACACCUUUUCAUAUGAUUUUUUUUUAGAAUGCAAUGUGAGAGUAAAGCCAACAGAGAAAAGUUCCAACAAAUGGAAUUGCCAUAGCAACACUCUACAUUUCUCAUCAAGUUUGGUCUUGUGUGGAUCAUCACAUUAAAGCUUGUUUUUCAGUUUGGUGAAAGCCAUGGCUGUAAUCUUCAGUGAGAAAAUCUCUUUGUCCUAUCCAGAAGUUAAAAAUAGAAGAAAAUAAUUUGAAUUAUUUUACGAACAUAAAAAUAUAGCAUUGCAGCUCCUCCACAAAUGGAAUUAACUCGUACAAUGCUGACAUUUGAGACCACUUGAAUUUCCCGCUUAUGUUUUCAAAUUGGAUUCAGCACUUGUCAUUAUGACUUAUUAUUUGUUGAAAGCUGACCAAGUUCUCGAUUCUAAGCAAAACAAUGGCUAUGGUACUUAUUUCCUUCUAAGGGACAAGGUACAAAAUCAUAACACCGAAAAAGACACUGGACGAAGGUUGUGUGUGUGUGUGUGUGAUUUACUUGUUUUUGAUAACUAGAAAAUUAGUCCACAUUAGGUUAUCCCUGGCUAAUAAAGCACAUAUUUUAAAAACUGCAUUUGAAAAGGUUUCUUUGCGGUGAAUUAAAAGUUUUUUUUUAAAUGAGAAGUCUCACAAAAAUAACAAUAUAUUGUAAAGUGGUUUUAAAAAAUGUUCUUUUAGAAUUGCAAAUUAGUCUUUGGAAGGCUGCUUUUUCUCUUCAAAUGUCUGAUGAAAAGCAGGACUUCUGAAAUGAAGGAAAUGUGAAUAUUAGGAUUUUUUUUCAAUGUGUACUCUAUAGUAGUUAGCACAAAAAUCAGAUGUAUUCUUAGUCCAACCUAAUACUUAAAUUUACUAUCACAUAUUCUUAAUUUACUCCAACAAGUUGUCUGUCACGUGAACAUUUUGCAUGUUGCUAUUUUAGGUUAUACAUGAUAAUAAAACUAUAAAUAAAAAGUUAAAAUAUGCUUCACCAUUUUUCCUAGUAAUAGGAUAUUAUAAAUUGAUCAUUAUUAUCAAAGAAUAUAAAUUUGCAUUACAAAUAUUACAUCAAAAACUAAUUAAAUCCUCCAUAGUCAUAUAUGGUACCUGGAAUUUACAGAAUUAAUGAAGUAUAAAAAAGAUGCACCUAUAGACAUAAAAGAUUAAGUUGGUUGAUGCAGUUUUUUAAAUAAAAAGAUCAAAAAACUACUUAUCAAUUAGUACUUAAAACCAUAUGUAUAAAGUUGAUCAUUUUCAAAAACAAAUAUCUAUGGAAUUCAAUUAUUGUUAGCAACACUCUAGUCACUUUGAUUUGUUUUAUACAGUAAAAGAGAGAAAUUAUUAUUAGAUUUUAAAUGUUCCUUCUCUGUCUCUGAAACAGACAGUCAUGCAAUUGGCAUAUUUUCACAGCCUUUGGCAAUGAUACACACAAUUUUAUUCAUGGAUAUUAAUUCUCUUUUUAAAACCACUAGCCUACCCCUCUUACUUCUCUCUUACUUCACAUUGGUGUUUAUUUCACUGCCACAAGCAGUGAUGCAUGGACAUUACACUAUAGAUAUUCAUAAUUUUCCUGCUUUUGCCUUAGUGCAUAAAAUGUUCACUUGUACAUUGUUAAGAGGUAAAAACUGCAUCACUUCAUCACAGGUUUAUCAUUAAGUGACCUCCAUCUUAUGGUGAUUAAAUAUCAUGAGAGUCUGGCAUAAAGAUAUCAACCAGCGGGAUGAGCUACAGGAACUGGUGACAGGGAAGAUGGCUGCGUAACACUGACAGCUGUGAAAUAACCUACGAUCUUAAGGAAAAGUCAGAAUUACAUGUUAUAACCUAACCAUCACUUGAAAGCUAAGAUUCCGCAAGAAAAAGACUAGAAAUUCAAUUGUUUUCAAAUGACAUAUUGGAUUAUGAUAUUUCAGCAAUUACUUUGUCACAAAAUCGUUUCUUCUUUUUUAUUUUAUUUUUUCCUUUCUUCCCCCUGUGGAGUUGUGGAGAUAGUGAUGGGGACUCUGGCUUCUCCCAAAAUAACCUUUAAUUAUAGUUUUUGAUCUUGACAUUCUCGAAAAGUGCCCUACUGGCUAGUCUUCUGUAAGUACCAUCUGUAGGUUUUGAUCAUAAACUAACUGGUCCUAGAAUCUCCCUGGCAAAAAGCACUGCGAGUCAUUUUGGGAAAAGUCAGGCAUAGUCAAUUUUCACAGUCUUGAAACUUGAAAUGAUUUCUUCCAGCUUACAGGAAGAAAAAAAUUUUCUGGCAUGAAAUUCUGUGUUAGAAUUUUCAAACAAAAAUAGAGAAGAAAGCUGGAAUAUAGCAAAAAAAUUAGACAGUGGAAAUUUGAAUAUACUAGAAGCUGCAUUUGUCAGGAAAAUAAGAAUUUGUGACUCUAUUGUUACAGUUACAUCUAAUUAUAUACUCCUGAAAUGUGAGGAAUUUAUGAAGAAUGUGAGGAACUUAUGCAUUUCUGAAGAAUGCAUCUAAGAAUGAAAGAAAAUAUAUAGUACAAUAUAUUAUAAUAAUGUAAUAAUAUAUACCAGUACUUAUGAAGGAAGUUUUGUAAAGCAACUUUGAAUUAGCCGGUGUCUUAACAAACAGCUAAAAACAGCUUUAACUGAAAGAAAAACAAAGAAGGGUGGAGAAUAUCAUAUUUAUGCUGCUCUCUAUCAGAUAAUGCUAGACACUGCUAAUCUCUUACAAUAUGGCCGGUGCUCACUGUUGUUAGAAAUAAUAGCACUGCACAUUCACCUCUAUAGAGGGACAUUUAAGAGGCUGUUGCUUCUUUGAACAAUCUCAGUGAUUUAAGAUUUUGACAAAAGUAUUCCUUGGGAAGAUGAGGUGGUUUCUGCCGUAAGUGGUAUUUUAGAAAAACUACUGCCUGUAUUAAUCUGCUUUAUUUGCCUUUGUUGUUCAUACAGUUAAAUAUAGCUUCCUUGAAGUAUGGAAACUGUUAUGAGGUAUUCUUUAAACAGCAACAUUUUUCUUCUUUUUAAUAUUUUAUGAAAACAUAUCCCCGAAGAAUCCUGGUGUAUGGUAUCUGUGCCAAUCCAGAGAAUAAUGCAUGUUUAUACUUUUCUAAAGGGUCAAGAGUCUAUGGAAUAAUCUUCUGUGAAAGAUCUACCUGUAGUACACUGGGAUCAUAGAAUUAGCAUGGCCUGAAUUUUUACAAAAGUCCAAACUUAUAUGUACCAGAAAAUUCACGUCAAUGUUAAUUAUAAACAAAUAAAGCUAUUUUAAGAGAAUUA